UGAUUAGAGGAUUCGGGGAAGAAACUUCCUCGAUCUAUUCUCAAACUUUAAAUCUGUAAGACCUG